UAAUAGCUUGUUGGUGGGGUAAAGGCUUACCGAGGCGAUGAUCAGUAGCUGGUCUGAGAGGAUGAUCAGCCACACUGGGACUGAGACACGGCCCAGACUCCUACGGGAGGCAGCAGUGAGGAAUUUUCCGCAAUGGGCGAAAGCCUGACGGAGCAAUGCCGCGUGAAGGAUGAAGGGCCUAUGGGUUGUAAACUUCUUUUCUCAGAGAAGAAUUUUUGACGGUAUCUGAGGAAUAAGCAUCGGCUAACUCUGUGCCAGCAGCCGCGGUAAGACAGAGGAUGCAAGCGUUAUCCGGAAUGAUUGGGCGUAAAGCGUCUGUAGGUGGCUUAAAAAGUCUUCUGUCAAAGAUCAGGGCUUAACCCUGGGCCGGCAGGAGAAACUCUUAGGCUAGAGUUUGGUAGGGGCAGAGGGAAUUCCCGGUGGAGCGGUGAAAUGCGUAGAGAUCUUGAUGAGCGAUUACUCCAAAGGCGAGA
rnacentral:rRNA from 1 species